UUGCCAUGGGAACUUGACUAACAGGUCCCUGAGGCUAAGCUGGCCUGGGCUGGCCUGGGCUUAGCCCAUUCCCACCAUCCAUUGCAUCAGUCAGUCCUAAGAGUCAGACAAAAGCCAUACCCUGCUCCAGCAUGGUCAGCAUGCGAGAAGGCGGGCUUGUCCACACUUGCUUCUGCUGCUGAGGACUGUGGUGGGUUUUGAGACAGCCUCAUCGUGCUGUUACCAGAGUGAAGGGGUGUGUGUGGGAUGAACCAAGCUAA
rnacentral:lncRNA from 10 species